UUCCUUUUUUUACCGAAUUCAACCUUCAAAGACAGAUACGGAUUUCCUCUCAUUUUUUAACCCCCCUGGUGUCGGAUUCCAGACUUUGUCACAUGACUCGCAUGACAAACCUGGCGUCCGGUGUCCAGGUGACCGUGGCACGGGUGCGAUGGCAAAUCGGGAGCGGGACCGGACCGGACCAGAACGGGAGACGGAGCCCUCGAAGAGGCGGAGCGCCGCGACCCUUACCGCCUUUAUGGCUCAUCUUGAGUGACAGUCCAGCCGGAGCCAGACCUGGGAAUUUACAGCAACGGGGAAGGAAAGAAAAACAGCGGGAGGUGUGAACAUGACGGCGGCUCUUCUCCUCUCCGCUCCGGCGCGCGGCGCAUUUCAGAGCUGCACGUCUAGCAAACAAUAAAUCAUCGCUAUUUACAGCAAACAGAACUAUUUAACAUGGAGAUUAAACGGUAGUACGGCAUCACGAGACACGCCCCCUUUUAAAAAAACAAAGAUUUAUGAAUGGCCUGUUGCAUGGCAAUUUUUAAACUGAAAUAACUGUUUGCAUAUUUUGGUCUUUCACAAACUUAACCAGUGCGGAAUUUUUCACAUUUCUUCCAACCAUCUACCCAGACGAUUUGUUUCAGGUAAUAAAGCUUUAAACAAC